UACGUAGGGGGCAAGCGUUGUCCGGAUUUAUUGGGCGUAAAGAGCGUGUAGGCGGCCAGGUAGGUCCGUUGUGAAAUCCCGUGGCUUAACUGCGGGCUUGCAGCUGAUACGGGCGGGCUGGAGUUCGGUAGGGGAGACUGGAAUUCCUGGUGUAGCGGUGAAAUGCGCAGAUAUCAGGAGGAACACCGGUGGCGAAGGCGGGUCUCUGGGCCGAUACUGACGCUGAGGAGCGAAAGCGUGGGGAGCGAACAGG
rnacentral:rRNA from 1 species